ACACUAACUAGAUGAUUAAUGAACAAACACAAAAGAGACAAAAUACGAAAAGAUAAAAAAAAAUAAAAAAUUACACAAUAAAGGAUUUUGAAUGUACGCUGAGAACAAUGGCGCUGUUCAUUUAAUGCUCCCCGCGUACCUCAGUAACUCCCGAACCAACGAUAUCCACCCGUUAUUGAGUGGAUCCCAUUGACCAUUAUUAUCCAAAAGCGCGUUGAAGGAAGCCAAUGAACACAGUAUAGGUGUCAUAACUGGAGCAACAGUACGAUGAUGUGGUACCACGAAAAGUUUAUUUUUUCCCUAUGUCACACUACAGGUCUUUAACUAUAUCCAUGCAAAAACUCACGUUGAUCAGUUCCUCGGUUGCGGCGUGAUUGAAGGUCCAAUCAACAAAGAAACA